GUGGGUAUAGUGCAGUUGGUUAACGCGUCGGAUUGUGGUUCCGAAGAUCGUGGGUUCGAGUCCCACUACCCACC
rnacentral:tRNA from 3 species